GAUAAACGCUGGCGGCGUGCCUAAUACAUGCAAGUCGAGCGAACGGACGAGAAGCUUGCUUCUCUGAUGUUAGCGGCGGACGGGUGAGUAACACGUGGAUAACCUACCUAUAAGACUGGGAUAACUUCGGGAAACCGGAGCUAAUACCGGAUAAUAUUUUGAACCGCAUGGUUCAAAAGUGAAAGACGGUCUUGCUGUCACUUAUAGAUGGAUCCGCGCUGCAUUAGCUAGUUGGUAAGGUAACGGCUUACCAAGGCAACGAUGCAUAGCCGACCUGAGAGGGUGAUCGGCCACACUGGAACUGAGACACGGUCCAGACUCCUACGGGAGGCAGCAGUAGGGAAUCUUCCGCAAUGGGCGAAAGCCUGACGGAGCAACGCCGCGUGAGUGAUGAAGGUCUUCGGAUCGUAAAACUCUGUUAUUAGGGAAGAACAUAUGUGUAAGUAACUGUGCACAUCUUGACGGUACCUAAUCAGAAAGCCACGGCUAACUACGUGCCAGCAGCCGCGGUAAUACGUAGGUGGCAAGCGUUGUCCGGAAUUAUUGGGCGUAAAGCGCGCGUAGGCGGUUUUUUAAGUCUGAUGUGAAAGCCCACGGCUCAACCGUGGAGGGUCAUUGGAAACUGGAAAACUUGAGUGCAGAAGAGGAAAGUGGAAUUCCAUGUGUAGCGGUGAAAUGCGCAGAGAUAUGGAGGAACACCAGUGGCGAAGGCGACUUUCUGGUCUGUAACUGACGCUGAUGUGCGAAAGCGUGGGGAUCAAACAGGAUUAGAUACCCUGGUAGUCCACGCCGUAAACGAUGAGUGCUAAGUGUUAGGGGGUUUCCGCCCCUUAGUGCUGCAGCUAACGCAUUAAGCACUCCGCCUGGGGAGUACGACCGCAAGGUUGAAACUCAAAGGAAUUGACGGGGACCCGCACAAGCGGUGGAGCAUGUGGUUUAAUUCGAAGCAACGCGAAGAACCUUACCAAAUCUUGACAUCCUUUGACAACUCUAGAGAUAGAGCCUUCCCCUUCGGGGGACAAAGUGACAGGUGGUGCAUGGUUGUCGUCAGCUCGUGUCGUGAGAUGUUGGGUUAAGUCCCGCAACGAGCGCAACCCUUAAGCUUAGUUGCCAUCAUUAAGUUGGGCACUCUAAGUUGACUGCCGGUGACAAACCGGAGGAAGGUGGGGAUGACGUCAAAUCAUCAUGCCCCUUAUGAUUUGGGCUACACACGUGCUACAAUGGACAAUACAAAGGGCAGCGAAACCGCGAGGUCAAGCAAAUCCCAUAAAGUUGUUCUCAGUUCGGAUUGUAGUCUGCAACUCGACUACAUGAAGCUGGAAUCGCUAGUAAUCGUAGAUCAGCAUGCUACGGUGAAUACGUUCCCGGGUCU
rnacentral:rRNA from 1 species